CGCAGCCGCGGUAAUUCCAGCUCCAAUAGCGUAUAUUAAAGUUGUUGCAGUUAAAAAGCUCGUAGUUGAAUUUCGGGAUCAGUAGGUCGGUCAUGCCUAUGGUAUGUACUGGUCUCACUGGUUCCUCCUUCCUGAUGAACCGUAAUGCCAUUAAUUUGGUGUUGCGGGGAAACUGGACUGUUACUUUGAAAAAUUAGAGUGUUUAAAGCAGGCUAACGCUUGAAUACAUUAGCAUGGAAUAAUGAAAUAGGACGAUCGAUCCUAUUUUGUUGGUUUCUAGGAUUGACGUAAUGAUUAAUAGGGAUAGUUGGGGGCAUUAGUAUUCAAUUGUCAGAGGUGAAAUUCUUGGAUUUAUUGAAGACUAACUACUGCGAAAGCAUUUGCCAAGGAUGUUUUCAUUAAUCAAGAACGAAAGUUAGGGGAUCGCAGACGAUCAGAUACCGUCGUAGUCUUAACCAUAAACUAUGCCGACUAGGGAUCAGAUGAUGUUAAUUUUAUAAUGACUCAUUC
rnacentral:rRNA from 1 species